rnacentral:rRNA from 1 species
GAUGAACGCUAGCGGCAGGCCUAAUACAUGCAAGUCGGACGGGAUUGGAGAGCUUGCUUUCCAUGAGAGUGGCGCACGGGUGCGUAACACGUAUGUAACCUACCUUGUUCAGGGGGAUAGCCUCUCGAAAGAGAGAUUAAGACCGCAUAACAUUGCGAUGUGGCAUCACAUUGUAAUCAAAUAUUUAUAGGAACAAGAUGGGCAUGCGGAACAUUAGCUAGUUGGUAAGGUAACGGCUUACCAAGGCUACGAUGUUUAGGGGAUCUGAGAGGUUGACCCCCCACACUGGUACUGAGACACGGACCAGGCUCCUACGGGAGGCAGCAGUAAGGAAUAUUGGUCAAUGGGCGGAAGCCUGAACCAGCCAUGCCGCGUGCAGGAAGACGGCCCUAUGGGUUGUAAACUGCUUUUGCAGGGGAAUAAUCCUUGGUACGUGUACCAAGCUGAAUGUACUCUGAGAAUAAGGAUCGGCUAACUCCGUGCCAGCCGCCGCCGUAA